AGCCCCAGAGCGGCGGGGCUGAAGCCGCGUCGUGUCAUGGGAAGAGGUGGUGGGACGUGAACGGUGUACGCGGGUUAGUGGAGGAGACAGCGGGGGGCAGUGGGGCGUGGGGCAUGGCGGUGGAUCUCUGUGAAGAGAGAGGGAGCUGGGGUGCUUCCAGUCAGGGAGGGGGGGAUGAGGCCCUGCACGGUGUUGGAGCCAUGGACGGAGCUGGGAAGCGUCAAAAACGCGUCAGAAAUCCAGGAGGCUGAAGAUGGAGGGCUAUCUGCACUGCCCUGCGAGGGACGGGUCAACACUGGGGCCAGGGUUUAAACUUGAAGUGGCCACUUUAUGUUUUGGGUUUACUUAGCAGCGGAGCUAGUCCAAGAGCAAUGAAACAGAAGCUGAAGGGGCUUUGCAUGCUAGGAUGGUGCUGUGGCUGUACUUGCACUGGAGAUGAAAUUGAACAGGGCUCAAGGCAAGGCCAGCCCUCGUGAUAGCGACUUGUCUGUGGGCAAUUGUCUGCAGGUGAAAUCUCUGCCCUGCUGGAGAAUGUGACAGCGAUGCACAUCAUUUCUAAUCAGUUGAAGUCCCUUGUCAUUCAAGUCAAAGUAUGCCACAGUACAGCAAUAGCAAAUGCUGACUGAGGGUAUAUCAUCACCUGGAAAGAGCCUGUGCACAUAUAGGGGAUCAUCUCUUCUCCUCGGAUCUCUCCAAAGGAUACAACAUUGCUGUGUCAAGCUACAGCUUGUUUUUAUGGUGGUCAGUUUAUGGGAGAAAGGCAGGAUUAGCAUAACUUCUUUUCACCAAAUGUCUGUCUGAAAUAAAGUGUGCUUGACAGUACAUAAGAGCACACCCCAUUCAGGAUAGGGUGGAACCAGGAUGUUGCCUGCUCAAGAACGUGAGGCUGCCGCUUGGCAGAGCACAUAACCCCUGGCAACAUGCCCUGAAAGCUGGAGCACCCCGCAACAGAAGUCAAACAAACAGAAAAAAUGCAAUCCGGAAAGAGCUCUCAAACAGGCAGGUAAUUAAUUUUUUUCACCUUGAAGCCCCCUGUAAGCAACACCCAAGGUGCAGCCCACCUACCCUUCUUUCCUGUGGCCACAUCUCCUAGGACAGUCCACUCAUCAUCCCUGAAUUACCCGUUUUCUUUCUGAUACAAGAUUGCUUAGGCUCAAAAAAAGGGAAGUCUGCCCUCAAGCUGCCAAUGUACCCAGUUUGGAUAAGUCGGUCUCCUCAGGAAUCAGCAGUACCCUGUGGCACCAGGCAGCCCGUUCCUGUCACUAGACUUUUUGUAGUCACACUUCAAAGGUUUGCCCUGUGCUGCUCCAGUCUCUUUGGUGUCCACUCUGCAAUAUCUGCAUGGAAAUGUCACUGUAAGCUCUGUCAUGAUAUACACUGACAACACGUCCAGCUCCUCAGCUGGGUUCAGGCUGGAUUUUGGCACACAGGGCUAGAGAAAUACAAAAGGUGUGCAUGACUCAUAGCAUGACCCUUUACUGACAGAAAUGCAGCUCUGGCUCUGUGACCAUCUUGUCUUGCUUCACCACCUUCAGCAUAUAAGGAUGGAGGCAGAGAGUAGAUGCAGAAGUCAAAAGCAGAAUGUGCAAGGACUCUGAGGCAAGUGAGGUAGAUAGCUGGGAACAGCUGCAACACAGACAUUGAAGAGUCUCUGACUUGAACCUCCAGUUAAAGGACACCAGUGACUGGCAACAGUGACCUGGAGAUAAAAAAAUGACAAGAAGUUGAGAGCUGGCUGAUGAAACUUACUCUGACAGUAUCAGAACAAGCCCAAGACCUACCCCAACAAAGUUAAAAUUGUUUAAAACAGAAUUCAGCUAAAAUCAUGAUUUUUUUUUCCAAAAUAUUUUACAAUGUGUGACUGCAAACUCCUGAUCUGAUACUUAGUUCUAAAGCUGAAUUUACCAUGUCCUCAAACUACAUUUCCUUAAAAUAUCUUCAGAUUUUAUUUUGCAUAUUUCUUAUCUGACUGGUGGUCUGGUGCUGUUUAGGUUAUACAAUUCAACACAGCCAUUGCCUGAGGGGACUAGAUUUUCAGGGAAGUGUUCCAUGUAGGACCUAACUGCAGUCUUUGAACACAGUCUGCAUUGAACUGUCUGAUCACAACAAUUAGGAUCAUUCCCAAGUGUAAAUAUGGUCUGGUAUUUAAAGUGCAUUUUUAGAAACAGAAUCCAAACAUAAAAAUUUAAAAAUACUUGGAAAAUUAAAAGAAGAAAAAAGGAUGAAGGUGCUGCUUUUAUUUUGUUCUUCUCCUUCAGUAGGAGAGCUUUUCUAGUACCAGAUACAGGAUGAACAAUUAACCUUUAUAUUGCACUUUUCAACCACAGAUUUUAAAGUAUUUUACAAGUACCACUGACAGAAAAACUGAAUCAAACCUGGUGGAAUUACUCCCUGCAGCUCUGCCAAAGAAGCAAAAGCAGAAUUAGAUGCUAUCAACUGUCCUGUCUCUUAAUUCUCUGCAUUGACUCUCACUGCUGUAAACUGUAUUAUCUGUACUGAGAGAGAAAGGUGAAAAAAAUGUGCUCUAUGCGCUUUAGACCCUGGUGAGGAUCAAAACAUAUUACUGCAUUAAUCACAUGGCACUGCAUAAAUCAAGCUCACCACUCAUUUUUAGAAGUUAUCUUUAGCAUUUUUAAACCAUGUCAUAAAUUUAUAUUUGACUAAGCCUUUAAAAAUUAGUCUUUAUAAUAGUUUAUAUACUGCAGACAUUUGUUUAUAAAGGGAAAGAGAUUUUUUGCUCAAAAGGUUCUGCACAUUCCAUUAAACAUGUGGAAUACUUUGGAACGUUGGAGAAGGCCCCCUUUGGUUUUGUCAACACCAACAUGAGGAGCUCCUGUAAAUUGUAGCUACAGGGUAUUCCUUCCUGCUAUACACUUCCAGACCACUAAGGUUUUUAUACUUCAAACCCUUACAUCUGUUUGGGUUUUUUUUUUCCUAGAAACAAUGCAUGCUCAGUGAUGUGGAAGUUAAAAUAUCAUUAAGCAUUUAUGUGAUUUAUGCCACAUAAGGGCAGGUUGUUACCUUAGCACAACUAAGGAACCAUGAAUGUUUCAGAGGGCAUUGGCCUGAGACUAAAGAUUUAUUAGUCCAUUCUACCCACUGGUCACACUCCGCAAUCAUGGCAAGAAGAAGCUAUUUUCUCAAAGAGGACUUUGCAACAUCAUUGCAGUGUACCCAACUUCUAUCCCAUAACCAAUGGGACAAAACCACUCUGACUAGGAAAUGUUUGAAACAUUUCACAACAUCUAAUGCAAACAGCAGAUCUCUAGAGUGUCAAGUUGGCUUAGUAAGAAGACAUUGAAGCCUCAGGAGUUGGUCUCAGGUCUGCUGUUGAUACUAGCAAAUGCUUUGAAGACCAUAGCCCUGUGCAUGGGAGAGGACCGAAAGAGAGCACUCUGCCAAGGAAAUCAGACCGUGCAGCAUGUUUCUUCCACCCAGCAACUCACAGCAGCAUCUUCAAGACUGAGCUUGUCUCCAACAACCGAUGCCUGAAGGGGUGAGCCUGGCUGUGAUGUGCAGGUCACAAAGGGGCUGAUUUUACAGGGGGCUUAUUCCUGCUUGCUGGUGAUGCUGCAUCAGUGAGGCGAAAGGGAGGUCAUGCUUGGGCACAAGAGUAAAAGUCACAUUCGGACAAGUGUGGAUUGAAUAAAGGAAAUGGUAAGGUGAAAAUGUACUGACUUCUUAUGUGCAUUGCUAUUUCAUAAAGAACCAUCUUACAGGCUCUUUCUUUCUUUGCAAAGCAUUCAGCUGCUGCAAUUGAAUUUAAAAGUAAAAUGAGUUGAACUUUAACAGAACUAUAGUAGCAGCUAACUAGCAAAGGAAAAUCCAUGUCUAGCUAUUUCCUGCUCCUAUAAUGUUUUGAUAACAAUGGUACACAAAGACUCAUUUUGUUUAGCAUGCGCCAUAUUAUUGCAUUUCAGACAAAGUCUCAAUUCUCUAAGUCUAAGACAAAGUCUCAAUUCUCCCUGAGACAAAACCCCAGGAUGAAAAAUAUGGAUUUGAAAUGUCCUGAACUACACAGGAGUAAGGAAUCAGAUUAGCAUCAAUUUCUGCUUCCAGCUGCAAUGAAAACAGAGAUAAGGCAAACAUGCAUUUACUAAUUGGAGGGAUAAAGUUAGGAAAGAUUUUGUUCCACAUCAUUCCCUGUCUGAUUAUGAAGUCAAAAAAAUUACAAUAUUCUCCCCAUUGUCUGCACACACUCCCUACCCCAGGCAGGCCUGUCCUUUCUGUACUGAGAUUUGUUCUCCUACGGCAGUGAGUUUCUCUUCAAGAGCUCACACACACACAGAGCAGCUUUAUUUACCACCCCCAGGUGCAAAUCUCAUUAACUCAUGUUUACUUUUGUGUUUUCAGCUUUCAGUAAUGAGCUGGAUUAAUGAAUAGUGAAGAUGGUGGUGGUGAGGAGAAAGGUAAAGACAACUCAGGAGCUGGUUUUGCAUCUUUCACUCUUACAAGCUCAUAGGCAAAAUGGCUAUCAGCCACUUAGCUAUAUUCCCUCCUCCAAACAAAGCCCUUGGAGAUUGAACCUCCAAGAUAGGCCUUGGUUUGUUUAGUUUUUUUCAGGAUGGUGGGAAACAAAGCACAGCCAACCCCCUGCCUUUUGCAAGUUAUAAAUACUGUACAAAAUUCUACUUUUGCAACUGGGAAAUGCUUUCUCCUGUUGUUCAAAGUGACUCCAGAUGCUGAUGUACUUGGUACACAGUGCAAGUAACCCAACUGGAAUGAAAAAGCAAGGAGCAAGUCAAUGCCCAUAGCAGAGCAGACACACAAGACUGUGAGAGAAGAAGCAACUACGGCCAAGGGUAAGUGCAUGUUGGAAAUGUAUGAACGAAAAGCACAAAAAAUGGGAUAAUCUGUGAGGUGAAGCAACAGGGGAAUAUUCAGUUCUCCUGGUAUGGGAGGAAACCAUGGAACAUGUUUCUGAGGAAAACUGAAAUUAAGAGGCUCUUGAGCUGAGCUCUGGGUGGCAGGAGCUGAUGUAGAGAAGCAAAGGAACUGCUUCCUGCUGUUUGGCUUCUGCUGUAUCUGAAGAAACUGUCUUGUAAGUAAUUCAGGAAAAGUGGCUCCACUACAACUUUGUUCUUGCAGUAGAAACAGCCCUCAGUGCGUUGCCUCCAAUGCCAGCCACAUUUAAGGUUCAAGUCCAUGCACAAAAGUAUCUGGCUCCCAACUGGAAAGGCAAGCUGUCAGUACAUAACAGGUCUGAUGCUAGCUGGUUUGGAUCCACUGUGUAUACACUAUGAAGCUGGUAUAGACGGGUCCAGCAAAUCUUGUGUGUCACACUUAAAACUGGGAGGACUCAAAAACACGAGCAUCGGAAGUCAGGAUCCUUUGCGGAUGCACGUCAGUUACACAUGUGUGCCAUGUUGCUGCUUAGCUGGGCACCCCUUCCUGAGUGCUCCUGCUCUUGCUGGAAUCAGGUGUCUCACUGAGGAAUCCAGCCUGGCAGGUGGCAAGCACUAGUUUCCCUCAUGGUCCACUGUGAGGACCUGGUGUUUUACCAAGGGUGGUGGUGUCUGUGAUGAGUAAGGAACCUUGCAGAUAUGCAGAAACCAGUCCUGAUGAACCACAGCCCAAGCCGUUUCACCCACUGUAAGCAAGGCUAGUUGGUCCAAGCCUUGCCAUCUCCCCUGUGAAGAAGAGAGGUGAGACUGAAAAAGAGCUGUGGGCAAGCAAGAGGAGACCAGACACCCAGAGAAAGGCAAGUCUGAGUGCCAGCCCUUGAGCCCCUGAGACUUUCUGAGCACAGGAAGUUACUGGUCUAGUUGCUGACCCUCUUUUUUCUCUGCUUUCCCAUGAAUGAAGGGCACUUGUGCUGGCAGCAGCACAGCUAGGACCAGAGACCACAAUCAAAUACUUUGCAGGUACCCAUAGGGGUCUUCUGCUCAUGUCUAACAGCAGUAACAUGGCAUUGGUAAGAAGGUUAUCAUCUCUGGUAUGCAUAAGCAUGCUGUGCAGCAGCACCUGGACUAGUCAGGGUGGGAUAUGUGUGUGAAGGACAGCCCAUGUGGUGGCAUCUCUCUGCAUGUAAGGGGCUUUGGGCAGUGGUACUUUGGGCACAGUAAGAGGGUGCUAUAGCAGAGAGAGCAGAUUUCUAAGGGUCCUGGAUGUGUGGUGGCCACUCUAUGGGGCUUGGUGUGCCCUUCCUGGUCUGACAGCCAUGGUAGCUGUGGGAUCUGCUGUUACUCCCAUGCCUAAGGCACCCAUCGCCUCCAGUGAGAAACAGGGAAAUGGGUGAGGCAAAUGAAUAAGAAAGGGGUAAACAGUAUUUUUCUCAAACUAAAGUGGUGAAUAUUCUUGCUCAGCAUAGUUGUUCUCAGCUACCCCAGUGUCCCAAACUAGGUUCCCUUCAGGAAAGGCUUCUUUAUACAGAAACUGCCCCGAGCUAACAUGUUCCACAAGAGAGAGCAAAGAGGAGACCAGGAUGGGAGAGGAGACAAGUUCACCCUUUUUGAGGCUGCAUUCCUCAGAUUUUGCUGCUCAUCCUCAGUUCAGCCCAAGGGAAUAACCACCAGUGGGAUUUUCCUCACAGGACAGCAUCUGGGUCUCACGCCUUUGGUGAUUCCUCUGAGGGUGAGUAUAUACUUUCCCAAAACAAGGAUUCUUCCUUCCUAGGAAAGCAAAGCCAGCAGUCUGAAUCAGUUACAGAAUCAACUAUAUUUACAUAAACUACAUAACACCUUAUAAUAAUAAAAUAAAUGAAGAAUGCAAUUUAUGAUUGGGUAAGUUAUAAUAAUAAAAUAUGAACUACUUGUGCAAACCAAAAUUUUUCACCUCCCAGAGGCAAGUACUGAGCACACAGAGAAACUCUUUCCAAGCUGCACAGUGGGGCUGUCAGCAAGAAGCAGCUCCACACCUUUCCCCAGGAAGGUAUAAGAGGAGGGCAAACCAGCAAACCUGGAAGCACAUCAAGUAGUUUUCCAGCUAUUAGUGUGGGUUACCAUGCCCUGGCUAUUAUCCCCAGCUCUCAGCAGAGUUGCUGCUCACUAUGCCCCAAAGUGCAGGUUAUUGUUUCCAGUUUCUGUUGUGCAUUGCUGCCACAGUCACUUCUUCCCCCUCCCACAUGAAUUGAUGCAGAGUAAGGAGAAAAGCAACAACUCAGAGAUGGGCAUAAUAGAAGGCAGCAAGGAGCCUUGUGGCGUACCUGCUUUCUUUUUCUUCUUUCUCCAAGCCAGAAAGUUGGACAGCGUGAGCAAGCCAAAAUGUAACUUGGCACCAGGACCAAAGAUAAAUGUCAGCAUUUUCCCUGGCAGCUAGAAACAAAAUGUUUCCAAGUGACCAAGGAUAUUUUUCCUUUAGAGGAUGGUCUCCCUGCUGUGUAAAUUCUUCACUGGCCAUCCCCCUGAGGGCAGGUGAGUGGGGUUUGCAGGGGAGCCCUGAGAGCUGCCCUGGCACUGGGGGUAAAGCUGCUCCCUGGUAUGUGCUCCCCAUGGGGUGCUGCAGGCAGCAGCAUGUGUGCACCUGGGAAAGGGCAGGCAUAGCAAUGUCACCUCCCUGGUAAAGCCACCUCAAGUUCUUUGAUCACCAUGGGGUACACUUACACACAAAAUACAGCAGGCUAAUGUGAUUCAGGGUAAUCAGAAAAGACAAUUUACAGUCCUGCCUCUUUUGAAUGCUGCAAAAAUAAAGAAAACCUUAUGGCAAGUUGGAGCAGCCUGUGAAGUGUAUGUAGCAAGAUAAAUACCUCCUUUCAAGCAGUAGUCGAAACAAAAAACAGGAUCAGCAGCCACUCUCCUCACCUCACAACUCAUCCAGCCUACUCCACCCUGAGCUCCAGGCUGCUGCAAGGUUCUCUUGCUUUGGAGGAAAAUGCUUAACAGUUUGGUCAACUGAAAUUGCUGGACAGCAUCCUUUGGGGAUACACAAAGAUUUCAGGAACCAGCAUCAGUCGUGGAAUGGCCAUGACAUGCCUGUUACUUCUCAUCAUCGAAGCAGAUGUACAGAGGUUUGAAGUCUGCACUAUUUUUAGGUAGUUGGAUGUCUUCCUGAUGAAGAUUCAACUUUCCACCACUGCAGUUCAGUAAUUCUUCUUGACAUCUUUAUUUUUUCUCAACAUUAUUUAUUGUUUUUUGAUCUUAUACGUGUUUCCAAGAACUCCAUCCAGGAAUAUCAUAGCAAAGAUAACAGCAUCUUCAUCAAAGAAAGUAAUUCACCUAUCUCAUCCUGGAUCUUUUUCUUUUCUGUGUAGUUUUAGACUGAGGGAAAACUGAAACAAUGAAUGAAAUAAUCUGUGGAUGAACAUUAGCUACCAUAUUUUAUUUCAGAAGAAUAUUGGUAGGAAAUUAAGAUUACCACAGGAAAAGGACUUGACUUUUUGCAGUUGCCAAUGGGAAAUCCUGAUCACCUAUGUGCUUCAUUAAUCCAGCAUAUGUGUAAUAUCUGUUGGGUAUUUCCAAGUUCCCUCUGUAAUCCAACCUUCUCCAGCCAAAAGCAGAAUCCAACCCCAUGUGUUUAAUUUCCACAGUAACAGCUACAACAGUUCAGAUGUUUUUAGAAUACUUAUAUUUAGAAGGAUUCUUCUCAGUCUGGUGGAAAGGAGAAAUGGCAGAAGGAAAAGCCAUAUAAUUCACCAAUUAGACAACGGUUUCUCGGCUGGUGUGAAGCAGUUGCUUCCCCAUAAGCAGCAGAUCUAUGCAGAUAGGAAUUAAUGUGGUCAGAGUUUUCUUAAUAUCUAGGAUAAAAUCCUAGCUGUCAGAGUGAGAAAAUUUUCUGUCCUCUAUGGAGAAAUAUUUCUCAUUAUGUAUGCACCUUAGCACUGGGGUGAUGAAUUGCUAGCUUGCUUAGCACAAGUCAGAUUAGAAGAUCUUCUGUGUCCAGGAAUAUUUCAUUCACUGUAA